rnacentral:rRNA from 1 species
AGCAGUCGCCACGGUAAUACGAGGGGGGCAAGCGUUGUUCGGAAUUAUUGGGCGUAAAGGGUGCGUAGGCGGUUUGGCAAGUUUGGUGUGAAAUCUUCGGGCUCAACUCGAAGUCUGCAUCGAAAACUGCCGGGCUUGAGUAUGGGAGAGGUGAGUGGAAUUUCCGGUGUAGCGGUGAAAUGCGUAGAUAUCGGAAGGAACACCUGUGGCGAAAGCGGCUCACUGGACCAUAACUGACGCUGAUGCACGAAAGCUAGGGGAGCAAACAGGAUUAGAUACCCCUGUAGUCCCUGUCUCUUAUAC